rnacentral:rRNA from 1 species
GAUGAACGCUGGCGGCGUGCCUAAUACAUGCAAGUCGAGCGAACGGACGAGAAGCUUGCUUCUCUGAUGUUAGCGGCGGACGGGUGAGUAACACGUGGAUAACCUACCUAUAAGACUGGGAUAACUUCGGGAAACCGGAGCUAAUACCGGAUAAUAUUUUGAACCGCAUGGUUCAAAAGUGAAAGACGGUCUUGCUGUCACUUAUAGAUGGAUCCGCGCUGCAUUAGCUAGUUGGUAAGGUAACGGCUUACCAAGGCGACGAUGCAUAGCCGACCUGAGAGGGUGAUCGGCCACACUGGAACUGAGACACGGUCCAGACUCCUACGGGAGGCAGCAGUAGGGAAUCUUCCGCAAUGGGCGGAAGCCUGACGGAGCAACGCCGCGUGAGUGAUGAAGGUCUUCGGAUCGUAAAACUCUGUUAUUAGGGAAGAACAUAUGUGUAAGUAACUGUGCACAUCUUGACGGUACCUAAUCAGAAAGCCACGGCUAGCUACGUG